rfam:Nitrospira bacterium SG8_3 WOR_8-12_11209, whole genome shotgun sequence.
CUCGGUGACCUUACCGGAGGGGUCCCACCCGUUCCCAUUUCGAACACGGAAGUUAAGCCCUCCAGGGCCGAUGAUACUGCAGCCGUGAGGCUGUGGGAAAGUAGGUCGUUGCCGAGA